GGGCAGAUGAGCUACAGGGGAAGGGGCAGUGGGUGGCCGCGGUCUCGCUCAGAGCCCUCUGCAGCAGGCCCCGCCAGGAGCAGUGCUGCACUCACCAGCAGAUGGCGCCACUAGAAAGCCAGCCAACCCUGAAAAAUGUACUGACCCUGAGGGAACUUGCACUCUGCCACCUCUUUCUCCAAGAGCGGCCCGGGACUGAGAAUGAGGGGAUGGGGCGAGUGGGUGGGGCCCUGCGCCUGUGCCUGGCUUCCAGAGUGACCCUAUUGUUGAUGAGGACCAGAGCCUAGGAGACAUCAGAGCCGGCCAGGAAUGACACAGGCGGUGUCGGGGUCACCGAUUCCAGGUGUCGGGGUCACCGAUUCCAGGGGUCGGAAGCCCUCCUCCUGUGGGGAAAGCACGGCAGACUUCAGGCAAUGGUGGUUGGACAUUUGCCCUGCCCCUUAUUAUAUGGUCAUGUCCACCCCCCUCACUUCAGUGGGCCUCCGUUUCCUCACGGGGUUGUUAAAAUGCAUUAAUCAUUAAAAUUAUUGUUUGC
rnacentral:lncRNA from 1 species